rnacentral:lncRNA from 1 species
CUCCUUCCCUUUCCACAUCUGAAUUAUUGUCAUCCUUUCAAUUUGUAGGUCACAGAAUGAGUUAGGGAGAUAAAAUCCAGAGGCCUGCCUCGAAGGCCUUCGGAAUGAGAGCCUUAGCAAACAGACCACUGGAAUUGAGUGAUUUAUUCAAAUCAUCGCUAACUAAGGCAGUGGUUGACCAGAUCUGCGUACACUGUGGGGAAGACAGGCAAUCUAAAGAGCACCUGCUGUCUGCGAGGAGAAAUGCGCCACAGUCUCUCAGCCCUGGAUCCAGGCCACUUAGCUGACACAAAGACAUUGCUUCCCCUUCUGAUUUAAAAAUAUGUUCCUCAUUUCCUGCUGCGGUCUCAUGAAUCCUCCUGGGGGAGCAUCAAAGUGCCAAAAGAAAUUCAGAGCUGGGAAGUCGCCUGGGCACCCCCCUCCCCCCCCGCCCCCCGGGGAGGCUGGAGGUCGGCCCUGCUCUGUCAGGGUGUGGGUGGGAGGCAUGGGAGGGAGCAGGCCCCAUGGAGGGUCCGGGACCUGACAGGGCGUGCUUUGCUCUGUCAGCUGUUUCAGCUGCCACUUCAGUGAUGGAUUUGUAAAUAUUUGUUGCUCUUUUCUCCCGAGGCGUGCUGUGUGCUCGCUCCCUGGGAAGCAGGAUUGUUUGGCCAUUUCACAGAGAGGGAGCCUGAGGGCCUGGAAACUGAAGGCCCAAAGUCAUGAAGGAAACCUGGGGAAGAGCCAGGAUGACGAUGAAGAUCUCUCGAGUCCAAGGGCUUUUUCCAUUCUUUGGAUCAAACACGUGCAGGCAGAACCAAGCUUUUUGAUUGGCUGGAAAAAGGGGCCGAUGCGGGUGGACUUCUGAGCGGUGUUGUGAGCACGCAGGUCUCAGACUGUUUCUGCAGGGCUGAAGGGAAUGACUUCUCAUACUCAUACCGUCCUCCUUCUCCAUUUCUGCAGUCCUCCCACAUCUACAUUCUGCAGGCUGCUGGCCCAGAACACAGAAGGCAGUGAAACAUGGCCUCAGAGACCUUGACUUGCCGUCAGAGGACCUGGCUCUCUUGGGGUCUCCACGAAGAACUCAUCCUGGCUGCAAACAGUUCUCUCCUCGACUCUCUCCUACCACUGGUCUAGAGACCCAGAAUCCUAUUCUGCCUGGACCGCUCACUUGCUGUGCAUCUCUAGAAGAGCUGUUGCCUUUUCUGGGCCAUUUCAUCAGAAUAAGAUAGAAAUCCAAGGUACCAUGGUGCACAUCUCUCCCAGUGCCCUCUGAGGGCCCGUGCUGUGAGGAGAGCCAAGGACAC